rnacentral:rRNA from 1 species
CAGCAGCCGCGGGAAUACGUAGGUGGCAAGCGUUGUCCGGAAUUAUUGGGCGUAAAGGGCUCGCAGGCGGUUUCUUAAGUCUGAUGUGAAAGCCCCCGGCUCAACCGGGGAGGGUCAUUGGAAACUGGGAAACUUGAGUGCAGAAGAGGAGAGUGGAAUUCCACGUGUAGCGGUGAAAUGCGUAGAGAUGUGGAGGAACACCAGUGGCGAAGGCGACUCUCUGGUCUGUAGCUGACGCUGAGGAGCGAAAGCGUGGGGAGCGAACAGGAUUAGAUACCCGGGUAGUCCCUGUCUCUUAUAC